CCUCCUCCUCCUCCUCCUCCUCCUCCUCCUCCUCCUCCUCCCCCCCUCCCCUCCCUCCUCCCUCCGCCCGCCCUCCCUCCCUCGCGCUCUCUCUCGCGCUCGCUUGCUCGCUCCAGUAUGUAAAUGUGUAAUAGAAGCCAAAUAUGGAGCAGUUGGCUGCCGCCGCCGCAGCUCAAGGAUCCGACUUCGGGGGGGUGGGGGGGCACCCUCUGGCAGGCGGCCCGGCGAGCCGCACAGAGCACGGCGAGCGCACGGCGCGGCUGCCGGCCGGCGCCCUUAACCCUUCGGUGCACCCGGCUGGAGCGCCGGUCCCUCCCUCCGGGGGAGGCCCGGGGCCUCUCCGCGACCGCGGCUCCGGAUCCCCGACCCCGGCCGGCCGGAGGGGGACUGUGCCUUCCAGCCGGGGACCUCCAGACCCUCCUCCCUUGAUGCUACAGGAGGUCUAGCAAUCCGCCGCGGGAAUCGAACGCGUCAGCCCUAGCCCCGGGUAGCCAGCCCGCUCGCUCCUCUCGCACCCAUCGCACC